ACUCAACACUAACAAAUUAAAAUGAGUAAAUCGUCGCUACUAAAGUAUGUCGUGCUUGUACACGAAAACUUGAACAGCGAGUUAGCUCAAAACUUGUCUAUUCGAGUUU
rnacentral:sRNA from 1 species